GAGAGAGUUAGCAGCAGGGUAUCAUAUUGACGCACCUACACACACUGUAAUUAGCAGGAGUGUUAUUUAACGUCAUGAUCAGUGAGACACGGUGAGUAACUCGUUCUUCUGUCACACUUUCUCAGUGAGACAAAUACGCUCGGGUAUACGAGUUCCACCGCAGCGCUGUCGGGCGUCCAGUUCUGGAUUCUGAUUGGUCGGGUGAUGUUGAUUCAUUUUCUAUAACAGCAGCUCGUUCACAGGGACGUGCGUACUCAGAAAGGACGAGUUCAUAUCCUACACACUUUUUGAGCCUCUCGGCCUCGUAAAGCAGAGCGGGAGUCGGGGAAAAGUUGCAUCUGAAGUGAAGCACGCCGGUGUCAUGGUGAUGAGACGAUGACCGGGGCGUUUUAAGAUAUUCCUCGGCUUUGGAUACGAGUAUGGCUUUAUCGCAGGUCAGCACCGAGCUGUGGGAGUCCGUGGACGGGUGUCUUUUUCCCGCCAUGGCCAUGGCCGCCG